rnacentral:misc_RNA from 1 species
UUUCCGUAGGUGAACCUGCGGAAGGAUCAUUACGCUCUGUGCCGUGCCUUUGGGUGACUACACCCAUUGGUUAUAGCCAGCAAACCCUUGUUCAUUAAUACCCUUUGUGAUUUCCUCGGUAGGGACGCCUGCCAGUGGAACCCCUUAAACUCUUCUGUAUGCAAGUAUUCAAUUAUUCAGAAUAACCAAAUUAUUACAACUUUCAACAAUGGAUCUCUUGGUUCUG